rnacentral:lncRNA from 1 species
UGGGAUAUUGAACUGCAGGUACUAAUGCGUGUGUAGUUCAUGUCAAUCCAUCCUAUUAUUUCAUCCUUGUAGGCAUACUGCUCAUCUCCUUUUAAUACUAAUUCUCUUAAUUCUUUUCUGAUUUUUGUGGAGUUGUGCAGAUAGCUUCGGCAGGUUUGUUAGGCUAAUAUAAAGUAGGGACCUUUGCUACAUAAUGAUACAAAGAUGAUACCGAAGGUUGUUUUGCAACUAGCAAGGUAUUUUGUUUACAAGCUGAUUGUCAACUUUCUUAGAAAGAUACAUGGCUGUUGUGUCCUAUCAGACAAUAUUAAACUUUUGCUAUGAUAUUUCCUUAUGCAGUUUCAAGGUCACAUGGAUGCUGACAGCUCUCAGGUGUAUGGCCUAUUUGUUGCUGGGUAUUGUUGCCUUUCUUCCUGGUAUGCCAAUGUAUAUUGCUUCAGUUUUCAUAUUGAGAUUGAUACAAAACCUAGGCUCUGAAGUGCAAAUUGAGAAGAGGUAUGCUUAUUGUUGCCUUUCUUCGUGAUACCAGGUUUAUACAGCGGAGGAUCCUGAGUUGAUGCAUAUAUUGGCUCAAAAAGUAACUAGGCUCUGAAGUGCAGAUUGACAAGAGGUAUGCUUACUGUUGUCUGUGUCAGUCUAUCUACUCGAUCACCUUCAUAUCAACAAGUACAUUGGAGUUGUUUAUCUCAGUGCAUCAGAAUUGUUUCUUUCAUGCAGAG